UCCCUAGUGGCCCAUAUGGUAAGGAAUCUGCCUGCAAUGCAGAAGACCCAGGUUUAAUCCCUGGCUUGGGAA
rnacentral:tRNA from 1 species